GUCUGCAACUCGACUACAUGAAGCUGGAAUCGCUAGUAAUCGCAGAUCAGAAUGCUGCGGUGAAUACGUUCCCGGGUCGUGUACACACCGCCCGUCACACCAUGGGAGUCGGAAAUGCCCGAAGCCGGUGACCCAACCAAAAGGAGGGAGCCGUCGAAGGCAGGUCUGAUAACUGGGGUGAAGUCGUAACAAGGUAAC
rnacentral:rRNA from 1 species